ensembl:lncRNA
CAAAGAUUAGAUGCACAUGAUGUCUAGGUAUAAAUACGCCUUUUCAGCCCCUUCAUGUUUGCUGUGGAACUCUGGGGGAGCCUACAGGGAUUUUAGGAUUUUCGUGUUGUCUGAGACUGUUGAGUAAUUAUGAAAAAUAAACUCUCCAAGCAAGAUCUGAUUGAAUUAUUUGGUCUCCUCCUUCUUGGCUCCUGUAUUGUGCUCAUAGGAUGUCUGUCAUUUGGAAGGAAGGGUGAUGCAAGAUGGAGUAAAGUCACGACCAUCCAGGACCUCGAGAGGAAGAUGGCACAUGAGCCAUGUAGUCCACCAAGAGCGCCCAGCACACUUGGGUACUUGUUCUGGAGCACUGGGCAGGUAGCCGUGAUUCACCGUGGUGCCACACACAUGGAGACCAACGGGUGACGAUUCCCAGCAAGGGGUCAUCCUCUUCCGAAAUCUUGAGGAGCCUCCUACAUGGGGAUCUAUGCCGAGGGGUGGUCACUGCUGGCGGUGUUGAAUUCAUAAAACACUUUCUGCAUGAUGCUGUUUACUUUCAAUAAUUUGAAAGCUAUCUCUAACCCUUGUGAGUCAGAAGAACAGACUGAAUCAGAAAUGCAAUAACUUUGAUCACAUAACAGCACAAUGAUCAUAUGUUAAGGCAUCACCCAGAUCACCCAGUCUUCUUAGAGAUUCUUUCUGACAUUGCUCCAAGAUCAUGUCCCAAAUUCAGAAAGAACACUUGGAAAUGAUUUGUGUCUGUCACGUAAGAGAUACCUAUUUGGUCUCCAGCCUGUUUGGUACCUGGAUUUCUGAAGUGGUAAGUGUCUUGCUGUUUGCUAAUGAGAUGACUGGGAGCUCCUGGACAGCCUCAGGGUGGGGGCUGAUUGCCAAGGGAACCAAGCUAGUGAUUAGAGAGUUGGAACUUUCAGCUCCACACCUUAAUCUCUGGGGAGGAGAGAUGAUCAAGUUAAUCACUAUAGGCCAACGAUUUAAUCAGUUGUGUCUACAGUAAUGGGGUCUUCAUAAAAAAUAAAUGAAAAUAAACCCUAAGCGAAGAGGUGUGGCGAGCUUCUGGGUUGUUGAACACAUGGAGGUGCCAGGAGGCCCUGUUCUCCACCCUGGGCAUCUCCUCCAUCUGGCUGUUCCUGAGUUGUAUCCUUGUACAAUGCACUGUAAUCUAGUGAGUCAACUGUUAUUCUGAUUUCUGGAGCUGUUCUAGCAAAUUAUCAAGCCUCUAGUUUAUAGCUGGUCCAUCAGAAUCACAGGUGACAAUCUGGACGUGUCAGCAUCUGAAGUGGAGGAGGGAAGUCUUGAGGGCCUGAGCUCUUAAACCUCUAAGAUCUGACUCUAAUUCCAGGCAGUGUCAAAACUGAUUUAAAGGACCCAUAGUUGGUGUCUAUAAAUAACUGGAGAAUUGCUUGCUGUAAGGGAGGGAUAAAAAUUCGUAUUACGAGACCAGACGAAUUUUUCCACACCAGUUUUUCCCUAACACCAGUGCCUAACACAAAGCGUGGUACUGGUCCAAAAUGAAUUAAGUACAGAAACUGAGAGUAGGUGCCCAGAAACACUUUACAGGAACUUGACAUUGGUGCAACAUCCAAGCUUGGGGUCAGCAGCAAAGGGCGGAGACCACUCAGGUAUUUGUCUCCCUCUCAGGGGGAGCUGCCGGAGAAGGCAAUGGCACCCCACUCCAGUACUCUUGCCUGGAAAAUCCCAUGGAUGGAGGAGCCUGCUAGGCUGCAGUCCAGGGGGUCGCUAAGAGUCAGACACGACUAAGGGACUUCACUUUCACUUUUUACUUUCAUGCAUUGGAGAAGGAGAUGGCAACCCACUCCAGUGUUCUUGCCUGGAGAAUCCCAGGGACGGGGGAGCCUGGUGGGCUUCCGUCUAUGGGGUCGCACAGAGUCAGAAACGACUGAAGCGACUUAGCAGCAGCAGCAGCAGCAGCAGGGGGAGCUGCAGGCCUGAGCCAAGCAGGAGUCACAAACAGCAGGACCUGGAGCAUAUGCAAAAAUCUAAAAAAUAUAAUUUGUGCAGCAUGGCUACGCCUUGGACAUUCCCUAGAUUACCACUAGAUGGUGACCAAGGAUCUUCUCCCUGACGGCUUGCAUGAUCUUUGGAAUGGCUCCUCCAAUUGAGAAAGAAGGCAUUUCAUGUGCUAAAGCUUCUCCAGUGUAGUCUGGCAGAAUUGUCAGACCUUUCCUAUUUGUAAAGCCCAUACAGAAGGCAAUUCAGUCUCCCUUGUAUGGAAUGUGCUGCGUGCCAAGUCACUUCAGUUGUGUUCAACACUGUGCAACCCCAUGGACUGUAGCUCGCCAGGCUCCUCUAUCCAUGGGAUUCUUC